rnacentral:rRNA from 1 species
AUUGAACGCUGGCGGCAUGCUUUACACAUGCAAGUCGAACGGCAGCGCGGGCUUCGGCCUGGCGGCGAGUGGCGAACGGGUGAGUAAUACAUCGGAACGUGCCCAGUAGUGGGGGAUAGCUCGGCGAAAGCCGGAUUAAUACCGCAUACGAGCUGAGGGUGAAAGCGGGGGAGCUUCGGACCGCGCGCUAUUGGAGCGGCCGAUGGCAGAUUAGCUAGUUGGUGGGGUAAAGGCCUACCAAGGCGACGAUCGGUAGCUGGUCUGAGAGGACGACCAGCCACACUGGGACUGAGACACGGACCAGACGCCUACGGGAGGCAGCAGAGGGGAAUUUUGGACAGUGGGCGAAAGCAUGAUCCAGCAAUGCCGCGUGUGUGAUGAAGGCCUUCGGGUUGUAAAGAACUUUUGGCGGGAACGAAAAGGACUGUGCCAAUACCACGGUUCGAUGACGGUACCCGCAGAAUAAGCACCGGCUAACUACGUG